GCCGGCGAGUGGCGAACGGGUGAGUAAUAUAUCGGAACGUACCGAGUAAUGGGGGAUAACCAAUCGAAAGAUUGGCUAAUACCGCAUACGUCCUGAGGGAGAAAGCGGGGGAUCGCAAGACCUCGCGUUAUUCGAGCGGCCGAUAACUGAUUAGCUAGUUGGUGGGGUAAAGGCCUACCAAGGCGACGAUCAGUAGCGGGUCUGAGAGGACGAUCCGCCACACUGGGACUGAGACACGGCCCAGACUCCUACGGGAGGCAGCAGUGGGGAAUUUUGGACAAUGGGGGCAACCCUGAUCCAGCCAUGCCGCGUGUAUGAAGAAGGCCUUCGGGUUGUAAAGUACUUUUGUUAGGGAAGAAAAGGGAAGUGCUAAUACCACUUUUUGCUGACGGUACCUAAAGAAUAAGCACCGGCUA
rnacentral:rRNA from 1 species